rnacentral:sRNA from 1 species
UCAUUUUGAGAUUUAGUGAUAUUUUUAUGACGUUGUAGUGAAUCCCCCUAUGCGGUGGGGCUAAGCAACUAUGUGAUAGCUGAUAUCUUCUACGUGCGGACCGCGGUUAGUUGGCCAACGGUUCACCGGGAGGCACCCGGCACUACAACCUUCAACUUUGAGCUUUCAGUCGGCGAGUGUGGGUGAGCUUAUAGUG